AAAAGAAAAAGAAUGUUGCUUCUUUCCAAGCAUUAGUUGCAAAACUACGAGGAAAUAAAGAAUAGUUUGGAUGAAAAAACAAAAAUAAUUGCAGAAAUUUAAUGAAGGAAGCUCGGGGUUCUUUUUGUUUUUUACUUUUGUUUGUGCUGGUCCUGGGGCUCAAACUCAGGGCUUGGCUAGCACUCUGUCGCUAGAGUCACAGCUCUACUUCUGGAUUCAUGGUGGUUGACGAAAUAAGUCUCACAGACUUAAAUUAGUAAGAACCAAAGCAGUAAUCAGUUUAACAAACACAGAUAUUAAGGAUACUCUGUUGAAUCGAAGCACACGAAAUAAAGUAGUAAGCUAAACUUAUAUAUUCUUUUUUUGCCAUUUUCCAGUCCUGGGGCUUGAACUCAGGGCCUAAGCACUGCCCCUGGCUUCAUUUUG